rnacentral:rRNA from 1 species
AUGGACGCCAUCGACCCGAGCACUAGAAAGCACGGGUGCCCCUUCUCCACUCCACGGACGGCUACGUGCUCAAGGUGGAGGAGCUCACCGUGUUCAAAAAGGUGGAGGAGCUCACCGUCGAACUCGCCGGAGUGGCGCUCGCCGUCGGCCCCGCGCAUCCAGGCCCGGCGCCGCCGCCGCCAAAGACCACCUCUUCAAGGUAUCAGACGCGCCCACCAUUCUUGCCAUUUCAAUUUCAGAGAGACCAUAUGCAGGGCAUCAGAUGCAUAUCUAAUUUCGAAUUCCUACUCUGGGUCGCAGGACCACCCGGGCCUGGUACCAUCGCCAUGGAGGAUAUCCUGCAGUUCGCGGCGUCCAUUGGUGGUGCAGGACACCCACGUCUUUGAUCUGUUGGAGCCCAAGGAGCAGGAGGUCCUGGUGCUGGAGGAUGCACAUGGCAAGACCAAUCUCAAGGGCCUCUCCAAGGCACCGAAAUUUUUAAAAGCCUUGGUGAGUAAAAGCCUUGGGUGCAGAGUAGAGCAACAGCAGCACGGGCAGGGUCAAGGAGCAGCAGCACGGGCAGCUCAGUGGAGCAGCAGCAGCACGGGCAGGGUCAGUGGAGCAGCAGCAGUACGGGCAGGGUCAGCGGAGCAGCAGCAGCACGGGCAGGGUCAGUGGAGCAGCAGCAGUACGGGCAGGGUCAGCGGAGCAGCAGCAGCACGGGCAGAAACCACCGGCGACAGGGGAGAAGCAGCCGCACGGGUGCGUGGGCAGGGGAGAAGGAGCAGCACGGGUGCGCGGGCGUGGGAGAUUGACGAGGUCGCGCUAGAGAUUGAGGAUCACGGGAUCACGGCGACGCACGCGCCGGAGCUCGAGGAGGACGCGCCGGAGCACGAGGAGGACGUGCGCGGGCUUGAGGAGGAUGCGGGGGAGCUCGAGGAGGAACGCGCACGGCCUCGAGGAAGACGUAGUGGGAGAUUCCGGCGACGCCUGCAGGUAAUCGCAGCGGGAGGGUACCGCGGCGACGCAGGUCUGGGCUGCAGCGGUGGAGGAGGUUACUGUCGAUGGCGGCGAGAGCAUGUAAUUGGCGACGGCGGAGGAGCUCAGCUGGGCUCGCCAGCCCCUGGCGAAUCACGCAGCCGGGCGACGCCGGCCCCUGGCGACGCGCAGGCGACCGACGGAGGAAGAAGACGGGGCGGAGGGACUUGUUUGAAACGCUUUUGA